GCAAAACAGAAGUUGCCAUCUUGUCCCCUGCCAUAGCUGUCUCAUUUUACCUUCUGAAAUGAUGGAGGAAGUUCUGCUGAGGAUGGGGUCAGGAUAACAGCAGACUUUUGGAUAAUCCUGCACCCCCAGAAACCUGCAAAGUACAGGGGCCCUCUUGGUGGUCUCCUCCUGGAUGCCUUGCUUUCUCCUGGAAGAAUCCUCCCUUCUACCCCAGAUACCACUGUGAACUGGAUUCCCUAGGAUCAACCAUCUGAGCACGUACCUUGAAAUGUCCCCAAAUUUCAGAGCCUUGGACCAGCAACAACACACUCUGAAACAGGUCUCAGAAGACGAAAAGCUGAAAUAACCCACGUUUCUUGCUACACAGAAUCCACUCUGAAAGGAAAAGGAAAUUUUACCCGAACUUCAGAAAGCUGCAGAAGUGAUACCCAUUUUCACAAUCCCAGAAGGAAAGUUGCAUCUGAGAGGAAUAAAAACAGAGCAAUAGAAACGUCUUUGUUAAAAUAAAUGGCUUUCACAGGGCA